ensembl:lncRNA
AGACUUUGCUUAUUAUAUGGUAAACUUUUAUCUGAAACUGUUUUCUAGGUAUGAGGGUUAAAAAUAAAUGCUGUUCUAAGCUUCUGCUUAAGUUAACUUCAGUUCUAACAUUCUAUGAUUUUCACCACAAUCACUCUCUUGAAAAGAGAGGAAGAAAACAAUGAAUUGGCAAGAUUUCUUGUUUAAUUGACAUUUAGUUGAAACAGAUUUCCUUGAGAAGAAACUGACUUAAGGCCUGUGUGCAUGAUGUGUUAAUAUGCAGACAGCCUCAAAGAACACAAGCUGGAAGAAACAGGAAGAAACUUUGAAGUAGUCUGCAACUUCUAAUGUUCUUCAACAUAUUCCCUGGUGGAAUUUUAGUUUUGUGUCAUGCUUUUCCAAGUUUUCCUCCAGAUGUUAUAUAGCAGUCUUUUUCUUCAGGGAAAUAUGGCUUGGAGCAUGAUGGUUUAGAUAUCCUGUAUACAGACAUCGAGAUUAAAAAAUAGAGAUGUCCAUUCAGUUUUACAAAAAUGUCUCUUAGUAUCUUACUGAAGAAUGUUGGAGCCAUUCAAGCAGCUUCAUCUCUCCAGUUUCCACGCUCUGCAGCUAUCUUCCUUGAAGUCCCACAUAACCUUUGGCCUAAGGCCCCUGGAUCUUGUCAAGAUGGCACUGUGAGCAGACGUUGAACUCGCCUCCUCCCACGAACACAACAAGGUUACAACAAUUUCGGGAAGAAUCACCCUGGAUUGAAAACUGAAAACUGGGUAAAAAGAACCCCCACGACAAGGGACAGUCCUGACAAAAGCAGAAGAGUCAGUAACUCCGGCAGGAGAGGAAAAAAGCCACCUUUGGGAGCAGUGGAGCUUUUCAGCUGGCCAGGUGGGAGACACCCUAAGGUAGGAGCCCUCCCUAGAGGAGUGAGGUUCAGAGCGGGGGUGAUACUGCUAUAAGCAUCCUUCAGACUCAGCCCAACUGAGAGGAGGGUCUUACUGUCUGGCUUUGCUGGCUAUUAACUGCAGUGAGGACACCCCCAGAAAAGCUAUCAGCCAAAGCCAAAAAGAUCCGCGUCUUAAAGGGCCCACGCACAAACUCACUCAUU